rnacentral:rRNA from 1 species
GACGAACGCUGGCGGCGUGCUUAACACAUGCAAGUCGAACGGAAAGGCCCUGCUUUUGUGGGGUGCUCGAGUGGCGAACGGGUGAGUAACACGUGAGUAACCUGCCCUUGACUUUGGGAUAACUUCAGGAAACUGGGGCUAAUACCGGAUAGGAGCUCCUGCUGCAUGGUGGGGGUUGGAAAGUUUCGGCGGUUGGGGAUGGACUCGCGGCUUAUCAGCUUGUUGGUGGGGUAGUGGCUUACCCAGGCUUUGACGGGUAGCCGGCCUGAGAGGGUGACCGGCCACAUUGGGACUGAGGUAGGGCCCAGACGCCAACGGGAGGCAGCAGUGGGGAGUAUUGCACAAUGGGCGGAAGCCUGAUGCGACAACGCCGCGUGCGGGAUGACGGCCUUCGGGGUGUAAAACGCUUUCGCCUGUGACGAAGCGGGAGUGACGGUAAUGGAUAAAGAAGCACCGGCUAACUACGUG